CCUACGGGUGGCUGCAGUGGGGAAUAUUGGACAAUGGGCGAAAGCCUGAUCCAGCCAUGCCGCGUGUGUGAAGAAGGCCUUCGGGUUGUAAAGCACUUUCAGUGGGGAAGAAAGCCUUGGGGCUAAUACCCUCGAGGAAGGACAUCACCCACAGAAGAAGCACCGGCUAACUCCGUGCCAGCAGCCGCGGUAAUACGGGAGGGUGCGAGCGUUAAUCGGAAUUACUGGGCGUAAAGCGCGCGUAGGCGGUCUGAUAAGCCGGUUGUGAAAGCCCCGGGCUCAACCUGGGAACGGCAUCCGGAACUGUCAGGCUAGAGUGCAGGAGAGGAAGGUAGAAUUCCCGGUGUAGCGGUGAAAUGCGUAGAGAUCGGGAGGAAUACCAGUGGCGAAGGCGGCCUUCUGGACUGACACUGACGCUGAGGUGCGAAAGCGUGGGUAGCAAACAGGAUUAGAUACCCCUGUAGUC
rnacentral:rRNA from 1 species